rnacentral:rRNA from 1 species
UCCGUAGGUGAACCUGCGGAAGGAUCAUUACUAGAGCAAAGGAUAGGCAGCGCCCCACAGAAGCUUGCUUCGUGGCGGGCUACCCUACUUCGGUAGGGUUUAGAGUCGUCGAACCUCUCGGAGAAGUUCGGUCCUGAACUCCACCCUUGAAUAAAAUUACCUUUGUUGCUUUGGCGGGCCGCCUCGUGCCAGCGGCUUCGGCUGUUGAGUGCCCGCCAGAGGACCACAACUCUUGUUUUUUGUGAUGUCUGAGUACUAUAUAAUAGUUAAAACUUUCAACAACGGAUCUCUUGGUUCUGGCAUCGAUGAAGAACGCAGCGAAAUGCGAUAAGUAAUGUGAAUUGCAGAAUUCAGUGAAUCAUCGAAUCUUUGAACGCACAUUGCGCCCUCUGGUAUUCCGGGGGGCAUGCCUGUUCGAGCGUCAUUAUAACCACUCAAGCUUUCGCUUGGUAUUGGGGCUCGCGGUUCCGCGGCCCCUAAAAUCAGUGGCGGUGCCUGUCGGCUCUACGCGUAGUAAUACUCCUCGCGAUUGAGUCCGGUAGGUCUACUUGCCAGCAACCCCCAAUUUUUACAGGUUGACCUCGGAUCAGGUAGGGAUACCCGCUGAACUUAAGCAUAUCAAUAAGCGGAGGA